GAAAUUGAUCCUCCAGUACAAAAGCUGGAAUAAACUCAUAAGACGAGAAGACCCUGUGGAGCUUUAAAACCAAGAUCAUUAAACUAUGCUCCUUGGAUUUUUAGUUGGGGCGACUUUGGAGCAAAAAAAACCCUCCAAAACAUAAAUUUAAUUAUUUAGACCAACACACCAAGAAAAUUAUAUUAGACCCAGCAGUAUUUUUUUACUGUCUGACCAAUGAACCAAGUUACCCCAGGGAUAACAGCGCUAUCCUCUUCUAGAGUCCCUAUCGACAAGAGGGUUUACGACCUCGAUGUUGGAUCAGGACACCCCUAUAGUGCAGCCGCUAUAAAAGGUUCGUUUGUUCAACGAUUAAAGUCCUACGUGAUCUGAGUUCAGACCGGA
rnacentral:rRNA from 1 species